UGAAACCGCGAACGGCUCAUUACAACAGCUAUAAUUUACUUGAUCCUGAUUAUCCUACUUGGAUAACUGUGGUAAUUCUAGAGCUAAUACAUGCACCGAAGCUCCGACUCACGGACGAGCGCAUUUAUUAGACCAAAACCAAUCGGGUUUCGGCCCGCUCUUUGGUGACUCUGAAUAACUAAGCUGAUCGCAUGGUCUUGCACCGGCGACGUGUCUUUCAAGUAUCUGCCUUAUCAACUUUCGAUGGUAGUUUAUGUGACUACCAUGGUUGUAACGGGUAACGGAGAAUAAGGGUUCGACUCCGGAGAGGGAGCCUGAGAAACGGCUACCACAUCCA
rnacentral:rRNA from 1 species